rnacentral:tRNA from 1 species
GGCGGAUGUAGCCAAGUGGAUCAAGGCAGUGGAUUGAAACCCCCCCCCUCCCCC